rnacentral:tRNA from 1 species
GUCUUAAGGCGCCAGGCUAGUAGCCUGGUGGUCGUAGGUUCGAACCCGG